rnacentral:rRNA from 1 species
UAAUACAGAGGUGGCAAGCGUUGUUCGGAAUUACUGGGCGUAAAGGGCGCGUAGGCGGCCUUCUAAGUCAGACGUGAAAUCCCCCGGCUUAACCUGGGAACUGCGUCUGAUACUGGGAGGCUUGAGUAUGGGAGAGGGAUGUAGAAUUCCAGGUGUAGCGGUGAAAUGCGUAGAUAUCUGGAGGAAUACCGGUGGCGAAGGCGGCAUCCUGGACCAUUACUGACGCUGAGGCGCGAAAGCUAGGGGAGCAAACGGGA